rnacentral:rRNA from 1 species
AUGGCUGACCCAAGUCAAGUGAUGGUGGUGUGGAAUGUACGCAGAUUAAAUAGCCCAGAGAAACGCAAUGCAAUAAAUAACAUCAUUUCGAGUUCGGGCGCGAGUGUAGUUUGUUUACAAGAAACGAAAAUCCAGGACAUGAACACAACGGUGGUACGGCAAUACCUUGGCCCGGCCUUUUGUUGGAAAUAUGCCCUAGAGGCAAUAAUAAAAUGGUUAUUAUUAUAUUUCAUUGUUCAUGAUAAUUGUCUAUUAUACAUGCUAUAA